AAAAAAUCCCAGGCCAAUUGGAGCAAUAUUCAUGGAGUUAUGAAUUUUUGAAAUGAAUGAAAAAUUAAAAAAAACACAUGAAAGCAUGUACAUGAAUGGCAUGGAAUAAAAGGCAAAGGCACAUGUGAAACUGUCUCCACCAAGGAUCGAACUGAAGAAGAAUUUGAAAGUGGCGCGUUUCAUCAUGAAACACACCGUUUUAUUAACAUUACGUGGCAAGGCAAGCGCUAGUAUCCAAUCAAUUAGCCACGCGGAGUACAAUUGGACCAAUGCAUGAAGAAAAACACAAAAACACAUGCAGAAUGGCGCUGGACGGAUCAAACAUAUUCUGGACAGAAACCCUAAGUGUUCUUCAUGUUCAUCAACGUGUUCUUGAGCUCAAGAACACUUUUGUCCAGAAAUCAACAACAAAUACACCAAUAGAUUCAUCUUCCAACGUACAACACGAAUCUAAGCUUGGAUUAACCUAAUUCUACACACAUGCGAAAAUUCGAGCAAAGGAAAGUUCAUGCAUCAAACUUAGAUCUAGCAUAUCUUGUUCAUUUCUUAAUGAAAUUCAAUGAGACAAAACUCAGCAUACUCAGGGAUGAAC
rnacentral:lncRNA from 1 species